rnacentral:lncRNA from 1 species
AUUCCCAUGUUAUAACCGAUUGCUUUGCUCGUAAGGUUUGAAACCAAAUGUUCUAUCCUAGUGCAAUGUUGCAUAUAUAGGUCAGUAAGUUGAGCCCCAAAUAAUAUAUGUCAGUAUUAAUUAUGACACCCACAAGCGAAACACUAAUCAGAUUACGGAAACCUUUAUAUUCCGGGGGUGGUGUGGGCAUACCGUGACUAGACUCUGAUGACUCAACUCUGAACAUGAAAACAAAUAAGAUGGUAUUUUGUAGGCACUGGAUGUACGAUUAUGAAGUUCCAGUUCCCUAACUCCAGUGUUUGAUAUGUUUUUAACCCAAAUAUCUAUAUCUGAAUAGAGAUGUAGAGGCAGAUCAUUAGGAAUGCAAAGAAUAAACUCUAAUAUGAGACCAUUACGAGAUAAAAUAAUACUGCUGACGGUUCUUGAAAAUUCAUAUAGUUUAGUUUCUCUACUUCUGAAAGAAAACCUCUGAGAAAGCCGGUUGAAGAAAAGGUCAUCAAAAACUAGGUGUGUGCGCAUUUCCCAUUUACCCCUCCAUCUUUUGAGAGUAUGCUCAUUCUUGUUACACAGUCAACUGGUAAUCGCUUUUGAAUAAGGUCUAGUAAGUCGCUAGGCAUGUCACUGAUAAUAUCAACCGCGUCUUAACAAUCAAGCCGUCUUGUGUUAGCAAUACUAGUCAUAUUUCUGAAUAUUAGAAGAAGUAAGAACCAAACUGAAAAGAUGUACAAACAAUAAUACUAUAAUAUAAAUAUAAUUAAGUAUAUUUGUAGUGGCCAACCGGGUAGUAGCAAUUAAUCAAAUUUAUCGUAGCACAGAAUUUAAAGAACAUUAUAUCCAUAAGAGCCAUAUAUGUAAAUAAUUCAACUAAACCAUUAUCACAUUUGGAAAAAAGUGGCAAAUCAUUUUCGUAUAUAUUAGCGAAAGUUUAACAGUUAAUUAAAACCCCUAAAUCAAAGAUAGAAAAAGAUUAUGUGAGAUCAACAUACAUAAAAACAUUGAUUUAUUCAAAAAGUUGAUUCACACACACACACACAAACAUAUAUUUAAACAUUUAUAUAUUUGAUUCAUGUAUUGGUGGGAGUGAGACAUUAUGAGUGCGGUGGAAUGAGGAAAGAAAUGUGAGGAUUAGUGAUACAACCCUAAUUCUUAAUUAUGUAAUCUAUAUAACGAUGUCGUGUAAUAAGUUGACUGCAAGAUAUUUGCAUAUGCUAAAAAACCGUAUCGUGUGGAACAGAACAUUCUAAAAUGGCUAAACACAACACCGUUUAAGGAUAAUAUUUACAAAUCAAUUCUUUUUUUUUAUUUAUUUCCAUUUUAGGGGCAGUAUGCUGAUACUUGUGUACAGGGAAACAACUAUCAACAUAUGUAGACAUUCCCCUGCCUAAAUAACAACCCUCCUCCAAAAUGGAAAUAAAUAUAAAAAGAAAUGAUUUGUAGAUAUUAUCCUUAAACGAUGUCGUGUUUAGCCAUUCUAGAAUGUUCUUUUUCAUAUGAUGCCGUUUUCUAGCAUAUGCAAAUAUUUUGCAGUCAAAUUAUUACACGACGUCGUUAUAGAGAUUACAUAAUUAAGAAUUAGGGUUGUAUCGCUAAUUCUCACAUUCUUUCUCACUCCGCCGCGCUCAUGUUGUCUCACUCCCAGCAAAGGUAUCAAAUGUUUAUAUAUAUUUAUGUGUGUGUGUGUGUAUUUGAAUCAUUGUUUUUUUUGAAUAUAUCAAUGUCUUUAUGUAUGUUGAUAUCUCACAUAAUAUUUUUUUCCAUUUUUGCUUUAAGGGUUUUAAUUAAUUGUUGAACUUUCGCUAAUAUAUAUGAAAAUGGUUUUGGCACUUUUUUCCAUAUGUGAUAAUGGUUUAGUUGAAUUGUUUACAUACUCGGCUGUGAUGCAUAAAUGUUCAUUAAAUUCAGUACUAUGAUAAGUUUGAUUAAUUGUUACUACCCAGUUGGUCUUUAUAUAUUGUAGCAUUACUGUUUGUAAAAUUCUUUUCAGUUUGGUUCCUACUUCUUUUAAGUAUUCAGAGAUAUGCCCAGUGAUGCUAACACAAGGCGGCUUGAUUGUGGAGACGCAGUUGAUAUUAUCAGUGACCUGCCCAGUGACUUAUUAGACCUUAUUCUAAACCGAUUGCCGGUUGACUGUGUAGCAAGAAUGUGCAUUCUCUAAAAAUCAUGGAGGGGUAAACGGGAAAUGCACCCACACUUAUUUUUUGAUGACCUUCUCUCCAACUGGCUUUCUCGGAGGUUUCCUUCCAGAAGUAGAGAAACUAAACUAUAUAAAUUUUCAAGAACUUUUAUCAGUAUUCUUUUAUCUUGUAGUGGUCUCAUAUUGAAGUUUGUUCUUUGCAUUCCUAAUGAUUUGUUUCUUCAUCUCUAUUCAAAUAUAGAUAUUUGAAUUAAAAACGUAAGAAACAAUGGAGUUAGGGAAGUGCAACUUCAUAAUCGUACAUUGAGUGCCUACAAAAUACCAUCUUAUUUGUUUUCCGGUUCAGAGUUGACUUGUUUAAUUCUAAGUUACUGUAUGCUCACACCACCCCCUAAAAUUGGAGGCUUCCAUAAUUUGAUUAUUGUUUCACUUGUGGGUGUCAUAAUUACUAUUGCCAUAUCAUUUGGGGCUCAACUUAUGGACCUACAUUUACAACGUUCUCAGAUAUUAUUGCGGGAGAAGAUGAUCAUCACCUACCACCUUACAAUCCAAAACAUUAGAUUGCGCAUCGUUUAUCCUCUUUUUCUUCUUAACCAUCUAGUGUUUUAAGACCUAAACGCUAUUUCCUGUAGAUUUUUUCAGGUGGAUGCAUUCACAGAAUCAGCGUUCAAGGGAAACCCAGCUGCAGUUUGUUUGUUAGAAGAGGAAAAAGGUGAGAAAUGGCUACAAUUGGUGGCCACUGAGUUCAAUCUCUCUGAGACAUGUUUCUUGACUAGGAUUGACUUGGAUUCGCCUAAUCCCAGGUUUCAGCUCAGAUGAUUCACUCCUGUUGCUGAGGUUCACUUGCUCUUGAUUCUUGUCUGUGUUUUUUGGGGUUUUAUGAUUCCCCGGGUGUCAAAUUCUGGUCUUGGGUAUUGGGUUUGUGUAAAGAUUUGAUUUUUUUGGUGGUAGCGGUCUUGAAUUGAAUUUGUGUAUUGGGGUUGCUUAAAGAUUUGAUCUCUUUGGUGUUAGCAGUCUUGAAUUUAACAUGGGGCAAAAUAAAGUUGAUUUAGACAUUCAAGCGGACGUAAUAACAAAUAAGUAUGAUAUGCAUAUUAAAUCCCUUUGUUACUGAGGUUCAGUUACUAUUGAGUCUUGUCCAUCUUUUUGGUUUUUGUGAUUCCCCGGAUGUCUAAUUUUGAUCUCGUUAGUAGCUCAUUUAUCUGUGUAUUGGGUUGACGUAAAGAUUUGAUCUUUUUGGUGUUACUGGUCUUGAAUAUGAAUUCGGGCAAAAUAAAGUGUUUUAAAAAAGUUAGUUUGGAGUUUGGACACUCAAGCUGAAUAUUCCCGCAAAGAUGGCUUUUCGAGUAAAUUAAGUAUGAUAUACAUAUUAAACCGCUUUAGUAAUAAUUUAAAAUUCUAGUGGAUUUGGUAACUUAAUAGAUAUUAUGUACUUUCAAUAUGUUAUUGCUUUGCUUAUGGAAUAGGUAAAGCAUGAAUAACCACGUCUUUUCUUAAUUAUGCCAUAUCACUGCUACUUUGUCAGUUGUCAUUUUACUUGAAUGUUGAAUAAAACAUGCAUAAUUAGACUAUGUUUUAUUGGAUAGCCACAGGUGGUGGUUGCUUUAUCUUCCCAUCUGAAACGGGUCUAAGCAAUCAUAUGUGUGAUAGCUAAAACUGAUGAAGAUAGUGGCUUUCUCUAUAUUAAAUUUACCAAUUGCUGGAAAAGUCAUUCGUAGCCGGCUUUUUAUAGUUUACGAAGACUUGCUAGUUUUCAUCUCUAUGCAUGAUGUCUGCUUACAGGUUAAACUUUGUGGCCAUGCAACUUUGGCGGCAUCCCACUUCAUCUUCUCAUCUGGUUUGGUGAAAGUUAAUGUGAUCGAGUUCAUGACACUGUCUGGAGUUUUGACUGCUAGGAGGGUUUCACUGCCUGAAGUUUCUGUAUUAUCACAGUUGAAAAGUGAUGGUUUCUGUAUAGAGUUGGAUUUUCCUGUCGUGCCACUGGUUGAAUAUACUUCUGUUGAGGUGUCAAACAUUUCACAAAGUUUAAAUGGCGCCUCUAUUGUUGACAUCAAGAAAAGGACUACAGAAGAUGACCUCCUUGUAUGUGUUUGGCUUUGCUCUAACAUUUUGUUAAUAUCAUUACCAUGUGGAUACAUUCUUUCUGGAAGUUGUUUAUGAUGGGGCUAACAUAUCUAAACAGUGAAAUGUUAUAUACUAGUGCCAUUGUUUCUUGCUUUGGAAAAGUUAAUAUUUUGUAUUUGAGGAAUGUAAAAGUCAUCUAAAAAUGCAGGUUAUGCUCUCAUCUGGAAAGACUGUUGCAGAAUUACAGCCGAUGUUUGAAAAGAUACAGAAACUUCCUUGCAGAGGAAUGACAGUAACAGCGCUUGCUCCCUCUGAAUCUGGGUUUGACAUAUACAGCCGCUUCUUUUGUCUUAAAUAUGGGAUUAAGGAGGUAAACAUUAAGCUAAAUAUCAGGAUUCAUUUAUAAUUUUCGAAACAUUUGGAGUUUUCUCAUAGUCUUGCUACACUUGGUAUGUGGUAGUCUCUUCAUAACCUGUCUACCUUCCGGAUACAUUCUUGUCUUUCUUUUCCUAUGUGUAGAAUUCGGAUAUUCCAUUUGGCCUCCACCCGCCUUUCAUUAUAGUUCAUUUGCUAGAUUAUUUGUAUAAUGUUGAAUCCAAAACUAAAUUUAAAUUGUCUAUCCUUAGCCUCCUUGCUUCUUAUUGUCUGUGGAUAUACAGGCACGUGCUGUUUUAAGGGUGAAAUUUAGUUGAAUCCGGGUUUUCGAUAGAGGUGCUAGUUUUUAUGUCCUGUCUUCCCCUAUAGACUAUAGUUACAUGCACCAGGUCAAUAACUAAAGAAAGAGCUUAUCUAAAAGUUGAACAUCUGUCCUGAGUGCUGGGACUUGAUACAAUCGGUAACCUCUUUAAUGCGUGCAAUUUUAUUUCAGGAUCCUGUCACAGGCAUUGCACGUUGUGCCUUGGCACCCUUUGGUGCCAAAAGCUGGGAAAAAGUGAUCUUGUUGCAUAUCAGGUUAUUGUUCUUAGUGCUCACUGCUCACUCUCUGCCUAACUCUAUCAAAUGUGUAUGCACACACUGAUUUCAUAUUUGAUCCAUUUGGAGCUUGUUCAUUAAACUCACUAUUCAACUUUGUGAUGUAGUAUUUCGUGAAUUCAGGCAUCAACAAGAGGUGGCUUCAUAAGAUUUCAUCUAGAUGAGAGGAAUCAAAGGGUAAUGCUCCAAGGGAAAGCUGUUACUGUGAUGGAAGGUUCUCUCCUAGUUUAAAUAUGGAGGUAUUCCUAGAAUGCCUAAAAUGAACUGGGAGCUAUUCAUAAUUAAAACAUCAGAAUCUUGAGAUCAUUAUAUUGUGUCUGUAACAGUUUACUUAACAAGUUUUUAUAGCUAUUUCUUGAUGAACACUAUCUUCUUAAAUGUGUUGUUGAUAUGUGUUUCGUGCUAAUGAUUAUUGAUAAGUAGUACUUUUAUAGUUCUCUUAGAUAGAUUGCUUGCAAUUAUCUAGUUGAUUAAUUAUUGCAGUUGUGUUCACUCUUCAGAGUCACUGAAACUAAAUUGAGUUGGUAAUCUGUUUGUUGGCCUGACAAGUAACAUAAGUGAGUAUUUAUGAGUCAUUUUAUUCAACAUGUUCAAUAUAUCUAUUGCGAAGUAUUGUGCAAAGUAUGGAAAAUCGUAAAUAAUACUGGCAAAAUUGUGCCAAUAUUAUUCAGAUCACUUAACUUCACUUAUUACCGAAAGAAAGCCGUUGAUGAUUAUAUUCUUGCCAAGAUUCAUAUAUUUUUGCUGAUUGUAUACUAGUUUUUAGAAUAUGAAUUGAUAUUGAAUUGAUAUUAUAUUUAAUAAUUGGCAUUUCAUUUAAAAUGAUAGUAUAAUUUUGAUUUUGAAUUUGGAAGGUUAAUUUUGAAUAUUUAGAAAUUAUUUCAAGAAUUUAGUCCGAUAGUCCUAUGUAAUAUGUGUCAGUUCCUUUUUGUAUGUAUUAAGACUUAUGUCAAAUGUAAUUAUAAAAGAGUUUUUGUAUUAUUAUAUGUUGGUAGUUAAUUUUUGGGAUAUUUUUAAAAAUACCCAUCUGUAAAAUUAUUUUUUUAAAAAUACUACCAUCUUUUUCAUUGUUUUUAAAAAUACCUUUUCAUAAAUUUUUUUUUUCAAAAAUACGAUUUGCAACCUUUGCAACCUCAUUUGCAACCUUGGGCGGCGCAGCCGUAAAAGUUGCAAAUGAGGUUGCAAAAGUUGCAAAUAAAAAUGGAAAUGAGGUUGCAAAAGUUGCAAAUGAGGUUGCAAAAGUUGCAAAUAAAAAUGGAAAGUUGCAACAGUUGCAACUGCAAUUGCAACUAGUUCAACUGAAAACUGUAAGUUGCAAAAGUUGCAAAUGAGGUUGCAAAAGUUGCAACUGAGGUUGCAAAAGUUGCAACUGCAGUUGCAAAAGUUGCAACCUCAGUUGCAACUAAAUGCAACUGAAAACUGUAAGUAACAACAGAUGUAUGGUGUGCCCCUGGCGGGGCCGGUAGAUUACAAUAGAAUCAACUGAAUGCAACCAUAUGCAACUGAAUACAACCAUAUGCAACCAUAUAUGCAAUUACAAAUCCUGAUUUCAAGUUCCAGUUUUCGAAUGUCGUUUUCGACCUCAUUUUCGGAAUCGAUAUAUAUAUAUAUAUAUAUAUAUCUGUUCUGAUAUAAAGUCACUAUUCUCGUUAAAACUGCCUUUUGGUAGUUCUGAUAUAGUGACUCAAUAACUCAAUGAUUAAAGGCAGAAUUAAAUAGAUACUCUAGAAGCAAUGUAAAACACUUUUAUAUGAACGGUUUCAGAAAAAAGAUUAUUGAAAAUUUAGAUAUAAAACUGCUUUUACUACUCCCUUUGGUCACUAUGAAUGGAAUGUAGUUCCAUUUGGACUUAAAAAUGCCCCUAGUGAAUUCCAGAAUAUCAUGAAUAAUAUAUUUAACCCCUUUAGCCAUUUCUCAAUAGUAUAUGUAGAUGAUGUUCUUAUCUAUUCUAAUUCUAUUGAAGAACAUUGGAAACAUCUGAACUCUUUUUUCAAUACAAUUAAGACUAAUGGUCUAGUACUAUCACCAACUAAAUGUGUCUUAUUUCAGACAAAAGUAAGAUUUUUAGGUCAUACCAUUCAGUAUGGGAAAAUUAGACCAAUAGAUAGAUCAAUUGAAUUUGCUAGUAAAUUCCCAGAUGAAAUACUUGACAAAACCCAACUCCAAAGAUUUCUAGGAUCACUCAACUACAUAGGAGAAUUUUAUAAAGAUCUUAGGAAGCAAUGUAAACCAUUAUUCGAACGAUUGCAAAAUAAUCCCCCGCCUUGGACUUCUAUCCAUACUUCUAUUGUCCAAGAUAUUAAAAAAUAUGUUAAGACUCUUCCCUGUCUUGGCAUUGCUAAUCCUUCUGCAUUUAAAAUAGUAGAAACCGAUGCCUCUGAAGUUGGAUUUGGAGGUAUUCUUAAACAAAAAUUAAACCCUUCUUCACAUGAAGAAAUUGUUUGUUUUCAUUCAGGAGCUUGGGAUCAAACCCAACAAAAUUAUUCAACCAUUAAAAAAGAAAUUUUAAGCCUUGUCUUAUGCAUCAAUAAAUUCCAGCAUGAACUUUUAAAUCAAAAGUUUUUAGUCAGAAUUGAUUGCCAGUCAGCAAAAUUUAUUUUAGAAAAAGAUGUUCAAAAUAUUGCAUCAAAACAGAUUUUUGCCAGAUGGCAGGCUUUAUUAAGCAUAUUUGAUUUUGAUAUACAAUACAUUAAAGGAAGUGAAAAUUCUAUUCCAGAUUUUCUAACUAGAGAAUUUCUACAAACAGGAGUGAAAGAUGAGUGUGAGAGAUAACAAUAGCCAGGUUAUUAUAUAUAUAUAUAUAUAUAUAUCGAUUCCGAAAAUGAGGUCGAAAACGACAUUCGAAAACUGGAACUUGAAAUCAGGAAUUUGGUUGCAUAUGAAGUUGCAAAAGAGGUUGCAACACGGCUGGCGCCGCCUGGAGUUGCAGAUGAGGUUGCAAAAGUUGCAAACAGUAUUUUUGAAAAAAAGAUUUUAUGAAAAGGUAUUUUUAAAAAGAAUUCUGGAAGGUAGUAUUUUUGUAAAUAAUUAAAGAAAAGGUAGGUAGUUUUGUAGAUUUCCCUUAAUUUUUAUAGCUAACAAAUUUCAAAAAUAUAUAUUAUUUGCACAUACAUCUUCAGAACAUAUUACAUAAAUAAGCUGCUCCAGAGCUCUUCAUCCCAAACAUGACGAUGACUAGGAAAGAGAAAAAAAAAUUCCAGUUCACAUUUCGAACCUGCUGGACAAGUAAGUUUUCUUUUAAUUUUCAAACAUGGAUUAACUUCUUAUUCAUUCAUUUACUUUUGUGAUGUAAUUGGAUCAAAUUUUUUGUAUAUAAUCCCAUGUGAAGCAAACACAUGAAUUUAGCUCUAUACAUUUCAGGCCUGGUUCUCAUUUCUAUGUAUACAACUUGGAUAGUUUUAUGAUUAAUAUGCUCGAUAUGAUACCAUGAUUUGAUAUUGCGUUUGUUAAGUGUUUAAUAAAUGUUAUCCAAACUAAUUGCCUCUAGUUGGUCAUGAUGUAAUUCGAUAUUCAUAAGUUGUUUUUGAUAUCAAUAAUCAAAUUUGAGUCGAUAUGUGCAAGAGAUCGCUGUGAAUAUAUGCGUAACAGGUCACUGUGAAAUGUAAUAAGUGUGAGUGAAGUAUGUUUGAAUUUAUAACUCAAAUCCAAUGAUUUUAAUUGCUAAUUUAAGAAUGGAAUGGUACUGUUUAUGUCAAGUGUUCAUUUUCUUCGUAUAUGUGUACAACUUUAAUAACAUGUCUUAAUGCUAUGAAGUAUUAUACUAUUAUUCCACCAAGUCCAAGAGUAAUUCCUUUUCCUUAGAAUUUUCAAUAGCUUCCCGGGGGCGAAGAAGGCUUAUUAAUAUACAGAUUUUGUUAAGUAUCAGCUCAAUAGAAGUAGUCAGGUGUUAAGUAAAUUCCUUGUCAUCAUGUACAUACGGGGUUGUUCCAAAUUGUGCAACAUAGGACUAAACAGAACUUUUCCUUUGAGCUAAUUACCUUCAAGCGCAAGGUUCUCUUAUUUGCCAGAAGAAAAUAAUAAGAGUUCCUCGAUGAAAAAUUCCCAUGUCAUAAUCGAUUGCUCCACUCGUAAUGUUUGAAACCAAAUGUUCAAUCACUCUACAAUGUUGCAUAUAUAGGUUAAGCUGAGCCCAAAUGAUGUCAGUAUUAAUUAUGACACCCACAAGCGAAACACUAAUCAGAUUACAGGAAACCUUCCUAUUUCGGGGGUGGUGUAGGCAUACAGUGACUUAGAUCAGAUGAGUCAAUUUUGAACAUGAAAACAAAUAAGAUGGUAUUUUGUAGGCACUGGAUGUACGAUUAUGAAGUUUCACUUCCCUAACUCCACUGUUUGAUAUGUUUUUAAUCCAAAUAUCUAUAUCUGAAUAGAGAUGAAGUGGCAGAUCAUUAGGAUUGCAAAGAAUAAACUUCAAUAUGAGACCUCCAAGAGAUAAAAGAAUACUGCUGCCGGUUAUUGAAAAUUCAUAUAGUUUAGUUUCUCUACUUCUGAAAGGAAACCUCUGAGAAAACCGGUUGAAGAAAAGGUCAUCAAAAACUAGGUGUGAGUGUAUUUCCCAUUUACCCCUUCAUGUUUUUGAGAGAAUCCUCAUUCUUGCUACACAGUCAACCGGCAAUCACUUUUGAAUUAGGUCUAGUAAGUCACUGGGCAUGUCACUUUUGAAUUAGACCUUAUACCAAAGCGAUUGCCGGUUGACUGUGUAGCGAGAAUGUACAUUCUCUCAAAAACAUGGAGGGGUAAAUGGGAAAUGCACCCACACCUAGUUUUUGAUGACCUUUUUCUUCAACCGGCUUUCUCAGAGGUUUCCUUCCAGAAGUAGAGAAACCAAACUAUAUGAAUUUUGAAGAACCGUCAGCAGUAGUCUUUUAUCUCGUAGUGGUCUCAUAUUGAAGUUUUUUCUUUGCAUUCCUCAUGAUUUGUUUCUUCAUCUCUAUUUAGAUAUAGAUAUUUGGAUUAAAAACAUAACAAACAAUGGAGUUAAGGAAGUGCAACUUCAUAAUCGUACAUUGAGUGCCCACAAAAUACCAUCGUAUUUGUUUUCCUGUUCAGAGUUGACUCGUCUGAUUCUAAGUUGUAUGCUCACACCACCCCGGAAAUUGAAGACUUCCGUAAUCUGAUUACUGUUUUGAUUGUGGGUGUCAUAAUUACAACUGACAUAUCAUUUGGGGCUCAACUUACUGACCUACAUUUGCAAAGUUGCAUUGGGAUUGAACAUUUGAGAAUGGAAAGGCAUUUGUUUAUGUCAAGUGUUCAUUUUCUUCGUAUUUGUGUACAACUUUAAUAACAUGUCUUAAUGCUAUCAAGUAUUAUACUAUUAUUCCACCAAGUACAAGAGUAAUUCCUUUUCCUUAGAAUUUUCGAUGGCUUCCCGGGGGCGUAGAAGGCUUAUUAAUAUACAUAUUUUGUUAAGUAUCAGCUCAAUAGAAGUAGUCAGGUGUUAAGUAGAUUCCUUGUCAUCAUGUACAUACGGGGUUGUUCCAAAUUGUGCAACAUAGGACUCAAAAAAACUUUUUCUUUGAGCUAAUUACCUUCACGCGCAAGGUUCUCUUAUUUGCCAGAAGAAAAUGAUAAGAGUUCCUCGAUGAAAAAUUCCCAUGUCAUAAUCGAUUGCUCCACUCGUAAGGUUUGAAACCAAAUGUUCAAUCACACUACAAAGUUGCAUAUAUAGGUUAGUAAGUUGAGCCCAAAUGAUGUCAGUAUUAAUUAUGACACCCAUAUGCGAAACACUAAUCAGAUUAUAGGAAACCUUCAUAUUUCGGGGGUGGUGUAGGCAUACAGUGACUUAGAUCAGAUGAGUCAAUUUUGAACAUGAAAACAAAUAAGAUGGUAUUUUGUAGGCACUGGAUGUACGAUUAUGAAGUUUCACUUCCCUAACUCCACUGUUUGAUAUGUUUUUAAUCCAAAUAUCUAUAUCUGAAUAGAGAUGAAGUGGCAGAUCAUUAGGAUUGCAAAGAAUAAACUUCAAUAUGAGACCUACAAGAGAUAAAAGAAUACUGCUGCCGGUUAUUGAAAAUUCAUAUAGUUUGGUUUCUCUACUUCUGAAAGGAAGCCUCUGAGAAAGCCGGUCGAAGAAAAGGUCAUCAAAAACUAGGUGUGAGUGUAUUUCCCAUUUACCCUUCAUGUUUUUGAGAGAAUGCUCAUUCUUGCUACACAGUCAACCAGCAAUCACUUUUGAAUUAGGUCUAGUAAGUCACUGGGCAUGUCACUUUUGAAUUAGACAUUAUACCAAAGCGAUUGCCGGUUGACUGUGUAGCAAGAAUGUGCAUUCUCUCAAAAACAUGGAGGGGUAAAUGGGAAAUGCACCCACACCUAGUUUUGAUGACCUUUUCUUCAACCGGCUUUCUCAGAGGUUUCCUUCCAGAAGUAGAGAAACUAAACUAUAUGAAUUUUCAAGAACCGUCAGCAUUAGUCUUUUAUCUCGUAGUGGUCUCAUAUUGAAGUUUGCUCUUUGCAUUCCUCAUGAUUUGUUUCUUCAUCUCUAUUCAGAUAUAGAUAUUUGGAUUAAAAACGUAUCAAACGGUGGAGUUAGGGAAGUGAAACUUCAUAAUCGUACAUCCAGUGCCUACAAAAUACCAUCUUAUUUGUUUUCAUGUUCAGAAUUGACUCAUUUGAUUCUAAGUUGUUGUAUGCUCACACCACCCCGGAAAUUUGAAGACUUCCGUAAUCUGAUUACUGUUUUGCUUUUGGGUGUCAUAAUUACAAUUGACAUAUCAUUUGGGGCUCAACUUACUGACCUACAUUUGCAACGUUGCAUUGGGUUUGAACAUUUGGGUUGUCAAUAUAAAUAUUAUAUCAAUCUCACUUUUCUGAGUAUCACCCAUUGUGGGGAAAUUGAUUGGCUAUGGUUUAGAUGCACCCGAAAGGUGAUUGAUUUNGACUUGCGGUCCUCUCUGUAAGUGAUAAUCACAUUCCACCCACUCUGGCUUAGAUUCUGCCUUGUUUUUCUUUCACUUAUUCUCCAGCUAUAUUUGUUCCUACUUUCUCUUUAUUAAUCACGUCAUAACAAUGUCCUCAUAUUAUCUGUAAUAGCAUUGUAUUGUAUUGAGUCCUGAUCACAUUUGUGUUUUUUAUUAUAUCUAUCAAUAUAUAUAUUCUCUUCUUGUUUGUUCUCCUGGCUGGUAAGACAACUUCUCAAAUCUAUUUUUAAGGUUCACGGAUAUCCUUGCUCUCUUGAUAAUAAGAGGUCGAGGACUCAAGUUGGAGUAGUCAGGUGUGCAUGCCUAUUUAAAUUUCUGAAUUGACCUUACUAGAAAUAAGAAAAUUCGUCAAUAUAAUAUAUUGUUUCAUCAUUCGUGUACCAUACAUAUGUACACAUUAAAUUUUAUUAACAGAUUACGACGAAUGUCUACAAUAUAUCUCUUGGUAACAUAAUUCUGAUUGCAUACUAUAUAUCCUAAAAUAUGGUUAAGCACUACUAAAUGAAUUUUACAUGUUCACGAGUACUAUGCUCUUCUGUUAACCUUGUAUGUAGGAACCUGAUGCGAAGUGGUGGAAUGUUAUGCACUAGGUAGAAAGCUGGGAAUAUGGUGUCAUCGGUGACACAAUAUUUGCAAUCACUACACUUGAUUGGCAUGGCUUUUGACCAACUCGAAACUGUGGAAUUAUAUGGAGUGAAUCUUUCUUCUGAGCUUCAUUUCAUAAAGCUUUUGCUUGCAUCUUCUCCUUCGCUUAAAUUGAUGAGAAUUUAUAACAUGAUUCAUGACCGUGAAAAAAGCGUCGAGGGUGUCGCAAGAGUUGAUGAGGUUCCCCCGAGCAUCCACAACUGCAGAGAUUAUAUGGAAGUAACGAGUAGUAUUGAUAGGUUUGUUUUGGAAGUUAAUGUUGAACCAUAUGGACUCCUUGGGAUUGUUUAUUUUGUGGUUGCAGAAUCAGAGACCCCUUUUUGUGGCUCUUGAACGUGAGAUCUUUUUCUGGGUUUAUUAACUUCAAUUUCAAUGACAGCAAAGUUUUUGGUUUAUUUAUUUAUUUAUCUUUUCUGGGUUUUUCUUAAGUUUUUGGUUUAGAUGGCUUUCAUGUUUAGAGUCCCGUAAACUGUAGGCUACAUGUAGUCAUGGUUGCUUCUCUAUUUGACAAUCAUAUUUUAGGCGCUCUCUUGAGAGUUGUUAUUUGUCAUAUUUUCAUAGUUUAGCCCUGGCCGUCCCUUUCCCAGAAACUAAAAUACCUUGAACUAGAAGUCACUCUUGUUAUCGGUAGUCUGAGUGUUGCUCUGUUUGACCCCCCUGUCCUGAACUUUUUCUGAUCCUGGGUGUUGCUUUGUUCGCCCCCCAUUGUUACAAGCAUCAGGUCCUUAAGUAACAGGAAGUGCUUAUCUAAAAGCUGAACAUUUGUCCUCACUGAUGGAAGUUUCUCUCUUAGUAUGCUGUUUAUUCUGGAACAGUUAUAUAGAAUAGCACAUUUUCUGACAUUACUUUGAAAUUCUCUUAUCCUUUUCUUGGUAUGUGUAAACCCCUAUGGAAGUCUUUAUUAUUUUCACGAAACGGUUGAUUGCAGAAAUUUAAAUACUCUCUUUAAUUUUCAAAUACUGUGUGGCAAUCAAGCAUGUCAAAUACUGUGUGGUAAUUUUCGAUGAGUAUUCUCACGCACCUGUCUUGUCUUUAAUAAGAUUCAAAACCUCGACGUGAGAGAUUUCAUGAUACCAUCUGAUCAAGAGGUCUUAAUUCUUGAUCCAUGUUUUUUUUGUUUGCAAGUUGACUCAUCAUCUAUGUUACCCGGACUCGACUAAAAAUGUCCCAUAUUAAUGUGUUUAGUGUCGGAUUUAGUAAUAUUCUGAAAAUUUUAUACGUUUUUUCUAAAAUAAGUGUUGGAGUGGCCAUAUACAUGUUCGAGUGUUUACUUCUGAUAAAAUGAAGAGUUGGGGUAAUAUAGCUCCUGAUUUGGUUGUGUUGUUAUGGGAUUGAUAUAGGUGGAUGCAUUUACGGAGUCGGCGUUUAAGGGGAACCCUGCUGCUGUGUGUUUCCUAGAAGAGGAGAAAGAUGAGACAUGGUUACAAGCUGUUGCAACUGAGUUCAAUAUUUCUCAGACAUGUUUCUUGACUCGGAUUGCGGCUGACUCCGUUUCUACCAACCCUCUGUUUGGCCUCAGGUGGUUCACUCCUGUUGCUGAGGUCCUCUCUUUUUCUCUCCUUUUUUUGGGGAUAUUUUAUUAUUUGAUUUAAGGACUAUUGAGUAUUUAUGUUUUUUUCAGUUUUUUUUGUACUAAUUAAAUUAUUUUUUUGUACUAAUUAAAACAUACGUAAAUAAAGCAAAAAAGUAACAAAAUGCGGGUGGGUAAAGUAAAUAAACUUCAAAAUUAUAUUUAGGCUUCGUUUGUUUCACCAAAAAUAACUUAAUUUUAGAAAAUAUUUUCUUCGGGAGCUACUUUCCUAAAAGAAUGUUUUUUACAGAACAUAUUUGCCGUCCUAAACAAAUGUUUUAUGCUGAAAUUUUUGAGAAAAUUUUCUCGAGAAUUUUUCAUAAAUUUUUCUCGAGAAAUUUUAGGGAAAAUUUCCAACAAUUAUCCAUGAGAAAUAUUUUUCUAGAUAAUAUUUUCCCCUGUUCAAAUGUCGGAAAAACGUUUUUCUGGCAAACAAGCGAAGUCUAGCUUUUUUUAAAUGCAAGAAAAUAGUGUUUUAGCCUGAAAAUAUAUUUUCCCAUUCCGCUGUGCAAAUAUGUUUUGUUGGAAGAAAUUAUGAACUGCAUUUUGUUUGUUAAUAUGCAAUUAGCAGAAGUAACUAGUCAUAUACACUAAAAAAAAUUGUGAAUGACAUUAGAAUUAGUAAUUUCACUUAUGAUAGAAUAUAACAACUCUUACUUUGUUUACAAUUACAUUCGAUUUAUGUUAUCUCUAUAUAUCUUUUGCUGUCCUUAAUGUUUGUAGUGUAAUGGAUUGUUAAUAAUAUAAUCCUGAAAUUUCUGGAUUCAGGUCAGCAACCGACGAACUCGCAGGUGGAUAAAUGAUCGUCUGUUGAUGGAGCUUGUUCCUCGUUUGAAUGCAGAGGAAAUUAGAGGCUUGUUUGCGCCACCACCUUGGGGUAAGAGAAACCAUAUAGACUUUUUAUUGUGUUUAUGUUUUGAAGCUCAAUGCAUUUUUGAAAUUUGCUUAUUGCAUUUUAAAGACUAAAAACUUUGGUUUCAAACAGACUUGGCACGAAUCUUUUCUUAUGUUUCACUAUUGUUAUUUAUGUUUGAAGGUGAAACUGAAAGAAAUGAGAAGAGUGUCAUAGUCCCUCCUUUAAUGUAGUCUCAAACAUAAUUUUGAUGGGAGGUCAAUUUUACAGGUGAUGAGGUACCAGUUUCAGCAUUCUGCAUGACAAAUGGAGGGGAGUGGGACAAGUUCAGAAGUAUUGACAUGGACAAAGAGGUUUUUUACUUCUCUUACUUACUAUGUACUCUUAUUAUUUUAGUUUGUGCAUAAUUAUAUACAUGUAUAUAGAAUAUUUUCUAUAAAGGCUUUGCUGCAGUGCGGAUGCCAUUCAAAUGUUUGAUAUAGCAUAGGUNCAGUUUUUCUUAGGGUAAUUUAGUAAUAGCCACCGAGGGGUGAAGAGGGGGGCGGGGGUUAAAAAUCAUGGACAAAGAGGUUUAGGGUUUUUAUCGAUAAAAUGUGUUUCCUGCUUUCUAUUUUUCUAUUGAUUGGUUUGUGAUGUCUCUUUGCAAUUGUUGUGCUGAAGUGUUUUCCUUAAAGAGUAGUGGGAUGAAAAAAAGGUAAUUAAAGGUAAUAAAGCAUAACCAGUGGGAAUUUAUUGUAACAAUUUGGUCCCACAUUUAAUAGUAUGACUGUAUGUUUUGAUAAUACCUGGUUCCACAAAUCUAUAUCAUUGUUCUGGUCCAUAUACCAAGGAUGUAUACUGUUAUGUUAAUUCUGGGGUUCUCAAAAACUGGAGAUCGGAAAGAUUUUUUCAAGUUCUUUCAUUUCCCUUUUUCCCUCUGAUUAUGUACCGUAUCUGCGAAUAGUUUUUAUUGCUUCAGGACAUGUCAUCUGAACAUCUGAUGUAUAAAGGCGUGUGACAUCUUUUCAUCUGUUUAAUUUCUUGUUGACAGAUCAAAGUAAUCGAAACCCUUGGAGGCUCUUCUUCAAAAAAGAAAGGUCGUGUGGAUGUUGAUAAGAUGGCUGAUUUGGCUGCAUGGCACAGAGUAAACUGUCGCACUAGAGAAGCACUCCGACAUAGCUUCCUUGCCGAGCUAAUUGAGAGCUAUGAGGUAGUACUUUAUGUGAAAUGAGUUUAAUGAAAGAUGAUAAAUUCACUAUCAUGUGAACUUUUUCCUUUAUAUAUUAACUAGGAACCUUCUUCCUGUAUAUUUAUAUGUAUUUACAGAAGUCUUUUUUUUUUUUUUAUCUUCCUGUAUAUUUAUAUGUAUUUACAGAAGUCUUUUUUUUUUUUUUAUUUGACAGUAUUUACAGAAGUCUUAUUUUGAUUAACAAGAAGGGUAGACUAUAAUCUUUAUCUCUGAAGUAAUAAUUGCUUGUUCCUUUUUAUUGCAUUUUCUUAUCAUAUCUUACCUGUCUGUCACAAGGCAUGUGAUUGUCUAACUAAAACUUAUUGGAAAAACUUUUACUUAGUAUUGUUAUGUUUCAUAAUCAAGUCAACUUUCUAGUAUUAUGAAGAAACUUGUCCACUUGUUAUUUAUUAUAUUGUUCAUCUGAUAAUUUUUUUACAAAUUUAUGAUAUUUUGUUGCCUUUCCUAGUGUACCUUACGCAUCACCUCUUUGCAGGCAUGUCUGAGGGUUUUCAUUGAGGGUCUUGACGGAGAUGUUCUUGUGCUACAUGUUAAAGACCCUUUCCAUAGGAUGCUACUUCACGGUGUUUGUGAGGUAUAGCUCCUUGGAAUCUUGUAAAGUUGAGCUUCAACUAGAAUUUUGCUCAUCUAUAUAAAUUUGUUGACAUUUUACCUUCUCAUGGCACUGGUGGAUUCUAUUGAGUUUGCAGGACAUGCUAAUACAUGUAGUAGUAGAUACAAUGACCAAUCUUAUUAGUAUUGCUGAUAAUCUUAUCACCUGUAUUUUCCCAGUUCUAAGACUUGGUGUCUGUGACAGACACCGAAUCAGACACAGAGCCGAUGAAGCCCACAAAGAUCAAGAAAAAGAAAGCAGGCUCUGUCCAACCACCGAAAAUCACCCUCUGCAACUUCCUGAAAAUGGCAAAGGAAGGAAACUGGUAACUCCGUUUGCAGGGACUCGCAUACAUUAGUAGAUGGGUAGUAUAGAACCCAGUUAUCAUCAUAUCAAAUCGUCUUGUUUGUGAAAACAAAUCGUAAUGACUUAAUUAUCGUUUUAGGCCUUAGUGUGAUCUGUAACAUUAAUAGGUUGUUAAAAUUGCUGGCAAUCCUCUAGUAGUUGUUUCUACAUCUUUCCAAGAGCAGAUUAAAAAUGUCAGUGACAAAAUCAAUUCUCUGAUAAUGUUGUGCUUGAUAAAAUUUCCGUGUAAAAAUAAUUUAUAAAAGAAGCAUCAUAAAAGUGUAAAAUAUUAUUUUUGGUCCGAAAUGUUACUAUACAGUGGUAUCAAAUGCCAAAAGAAUAUUGAGUUUCGACACUUUAAGUUACUUAUACUCUAUUCUAUAUAGCAAAAAAUCGGUUCUUUUGACACUUUAAGUUACUUAUACUCGUUUUUAGAUAGCAAAAAAUCGGUGGGCGUUUGGUAACGCUUAAGCACUUCUGACUUCUUUUAGCACUUUUGUAACACUUUAAGUUACUUGUACUUUUGUAACACUUUAAGUUACUUAUUGAGUGAUCCGCAUUUUAUUAUGAAGUGUUUACAUUUUUAGAGUCAAGUUCUAUGGAGUACAAACAAUAUUGGAGUAUUGGAGUACAAGAUUCAUACAAUAUAAUCUAGUCAUCCAAAAUCUUCAUUUUUUGUGUUCUACAAUACUUGUAAACAUUCGACAACCUGCAGAUUAUGUUCUACAACAUAAACAUUGUAAUCAAAAGAUAGAACAGUUACUUUUAUAAAUCGUACGACAUUAUGUUCUGCAAUAUAACUUAUAAGCAGAACAACAAUCUUAAUGCUUGUUAAAGUUGAAAGAUAUUAAUGAUUAAUUGACAAUUAUGUUUAAUACUACAUAUAAAUGAUAAAUUAUAUAUAAAUCUGGAUAAUAAGAGUAAUUAUUUAUGAUUAAACUAAAAAAUUAUGAUUUGUACUCCAAUUUUCCAAUGUUUUUAAGUACUCCAUAUAACUUAACUCAACAUUUUUAAUAUAUAAUAAACUUUAUUUAUUAAUAAAACAUUUUUUAUUUUAAUAAUUUGAAUUUUUUUAAUUUAUAAAUUUAAAAUUAUCAAACACUCAAUUGACUUAUAAGUAAAAGUUAUCCACACAUUUUAAGAACUUUUAAGUAAGGUCAUUUAUCAUUUAUAAUCCACUUCUUUACUUUUAGCAAUUAGAAAUAAGUUAUUUUUUCUAAGUUAAGUCAAACGACCCCUUAGUCUCAAAAGCAUUCCAUAUACCAAAAUUUUUAUAAUUAGUAAAAGAAUAUCCAAAAUAUCAUUUAUUGUUUAAGACCUCGUAUUUGUGAAAGACUGUCCAAAAUAUUAUUAUUUAUUAAAGUCGGAUAAUCAAGCGUUUUGAAUUUUAGGAAGCGUAUUCAACCGAGAUUUUAUCAUAUUGUUUUUUAUUUGUGAAUUUAAAUGAAUUAUAUAUAUAUAUAUAUAUAAUUUUUAGGGAAAUCUACAAAACUACCUACCUUUUCUUUUAUUGUUUUCAAAAAUACUACCUUCCAGAAUUUUUUUUAAAAAUACCUUUUCAUAAAAUCUUUUUUUCAAAAAUACUGUUUGCAACUUUUGCAACCUCAUCUGCAACUCCAGGCGGCGCCAGCCGUGUUGCAACCUCUUUUGCAACUUCAUAUGCAACCGAAUUAUAUAUAUAUAUAUAUAUAUAUAUAGACAAAAGUUAUAUGGAGUCUUAUAAAUUUUGGAGUCCUUGGAGUCCCAAUCUGGGCCCUCCAUCUUGUGUAACAUCCAAUGGCUGUUAUGUUUUUUGGAUUAAUCUUUUCUUUUUAGUUUUUUAUUUUUUUAAAAACCAACCGUGCAUUUUUUGAACAGGCGUGCGUAUGUUAUCCGGCAGUUGCAACUGCCUCAGAGUGUUUCCAGGAGAUGUAGAGAGAAGUGUCCUGCACCUACGAAAUAAUUUUUUUUUUCAUUUUUUCAUUUUUUGUUCUUUCAUACGCGGGAGGCAAUAUCUUUAAUAUCGAGAUCAAUCUGUGUAAAGUGUAUAAUAAGAAGGCCCAAUCAAAUAAGUUUUGUAGUUUUUUUAAUGCAUCUUGUGUUCAUUUUAGGUCCUGUAUUGCAAGGUCUAUUGUGCAUACGAUUUCUGUGCAGGACAUGUUUAUGGUUAAUGUAUUUGUCUUGCGUAUCAUCAUUACAAAGUAAUGGUUGUCUUUUCAUUCUGCACAUGUUCUUGGUUACCAGAGCUGUCAAAACCCUCUCGAGGAGUCACAAAAUCAUCAUCCUCUUCGUCAGGAACGCUCGCACGCAUCUUAUCUACAUCCAUCCUUUCAUUACAUAUGUCCAAUCUAGGCACUGGUGUCGACACCUCUCCUUGAGAUUUGUCAAACACGCUUCCACUUACGUUUUUUCUCAGCAAAGUACCGUCUGACACAAUUCUUGCAGGCAUGCAAUUAUAGCCGUCAUCAUCAAUGGUUAUGUAUCCUGGUUUCUUCUUAGUCCAAUUGUAUACCCACGGGCUUUCGAUUAGUCUACUGCUUCUCCUUCGACCUAAGCACACGAGGAAUAAUAGCUUAUUAAGCACACGAGGAAUAAUAGAUUAUUAUACAAUUAAGAUACUAGAAUAUUACACACGAUGCAAAACAACUAAUUAUACAAUGUUCAGGACACUUAAAAAAAUCCAAACUCCGAUUAAAGAUUCCAAGAUACUGGUCUGUUAGAAACUGGAAGGACACGUUAAAAACAAGAAUCACUGAUAGCCCAAAAACACAACAAAUGCCUAAUCACUUAUUAUGCAACAUCAAGAUGAAAUUAGUAAUUAACAGAGUGCAAAACUAAACCAAAAAAAAUGUAUAUACUACAAUAGCAGUAGCAAUGUUCGUUCACAUAUGACGCAAAUGCAGGAUCAAAAUGAAUACAGAGUGCAGGACUCAUCAACAAAUAUUCUAUAAUAUUACCAAAUUCUUAAUCUAGAAUAUUAAAAGCAUAGGGAAACAUUGGCAAGCGUUAAUUUAGCUACUCUACUUGAUUUUAGUGUUAUUUACUGUUCACCUUGUCUUACUAAAGAAACACUCUGUAAAAGGACAAAAGAAAUCCUUUCAUGGACUUCCAAAAAAAAGAGUUUAAAAUCAAGAAAUGUAGACUCUCUCACAAUGCACUCUAUUAAGGUAUCCUGUAAACAUCUGGUCCAAGAUUUUGGUUCAACUUCAUAUGAGUACAUUAACAUAAAGCACCAAAACACAUAUGCCGUCCCUUGCACACUGCUUUCUGUUCACUACACUUUGCAGGACCUAACAAUUAAUUAUCUUCAAACAAGAAAAUUAAGCAGAUGCAGGACACAUAAAAAGGUCACAAACCACAAACUCCUUCUGAUUAGAACAGGAGAAUCAACGUUCAUGGCUGAAAUACCUUUAAUGUUGUCAUGCUAUAGGUCUUCAAGUCUUAAGGAACUGAUUGAAGCAUCGAAAAGACAACAGUACAUUGUGAUUCUAGGAAGAAGAGGGGGAAACUGGACAGAUAACACCAGGGUGAAAGGGGGAAAUGAUAAGGUGUAAUCUCAUCAUUUAGGAUUUAUCUGUUGUACUCAACAACUUUUCAUUUAAGAACUGGUUAUUUAGCGAUUAAGGAAUGGUCAAAUAUUAUUCUAGUACAUUGCCAAAAAACAGGUUAUAAGAUACUCUUUAAAAACAUCCUGGAUACAAAAUUUCUACGUACCUUUUCAUGUUUCAAAAGACAAAAAAAAUUGCAAAUCAAAUUACAAGGGACAACCUUAUCCAAUCUGUAGUUUUUCAUGUUUUCAGCUGUCUCUCGAUCAUUUACAAACUCUGAUAAGUUACUCCUAUUACUAACAUAGCCCCAACCAAAAAAAUCCAAAGAAAUGCAAGACAACCCAGUCAAUUGGGAACCCAUACAAUCACAUAUUAUGCAACUGCAAGAUAAAAAUAACAACCAAAUGCAGGACACCUAACAACUAAUUAUCUUCAAAUAAGAAAAUUAAAAAGAUGCAGGACACAUAACUACAGGAUCAAUCGCACAACUAAACCACAAAAUGCAUUUACAAUGUCAAGAAUGUACUGCACACCAAAAGCCCCAAAUUCAAUCGAAUCAGUUAUUGCACACAACUGGUGUAAUAUGCCGAGUUUGAACACACACAAAUUACGAUUUCUAAAAAAGCCCCUAAAAAACACGGAGAGCCAACAAUUCAAUGGGGCUACCGGCAAAUGGAGGAGAACCCAUUCAUUCGGGAUGCCGUAUUUCAUAGAAUCAGUGUUUUCAGCGGCAAGAACAACGACAUGCAAAGCAAUUGAAGGACAUAAUGAGAAGAUAGUGGCAUACCUGAACUCAUCUUCGAAAGAAAUUGAAGCGUCCUGCAAAAGCCCUAACUGGUGGUUGUGCUUAGUGUAUACGGUUCUGCAGCUUGGUUAUACACAGCGAAAAUCGGGGAUUAGGUGGUAACGGCCGUGCUAGUGUUAACCACCGGAGGAUGCAGGAUAGAAACUCUGAAGAAACGUGUGCGAAAGUGAAGUUGAAAAAUGGUUUAAAAUUGUCAGCGGUUUAUUUGAUCAUUAAAUCAGAGCCACAGGAUCUUUUUAAAAUCCAACGGUGGAUCUUAGGGACUCCAAAUAAUAUAUAUAUAUAUAUAUAUAUAUAUAUAUAUAUAUAUAUAGCAUACGGUUGUAUUCAGUUGCAUAUGGUUGUAUUCAGUUGAUUAUAUUGUAAUCUAAUGGCCCCGCCAGGGGCACACCAUACAUCUGUUGUUACUUACAGUUUUCAGUUGCAUUUAGUUGCAACUGAGGUUGCAAAUGAAGUUGCAAAAGUUGCAACUGCAGUUGCAACUUCAUUUGCAACCUCAUUUGCAACUUUUGCAACCUCAUUUGCAACUUUUGCAACUUACAGUUUUCAGUUGAACUAGUUGCAAUUGCAGUUGCAACUGUUGCAACUUUCCAUUUUUAUUUGCAACUUUUGCAACCUCAUUUGCAACUUUUGCAACCUCAUUUCCAUUUUUAUUUGCAACUUUUGCAACCUCAUUUGCAACUUUUACGGCUGCGCCGCCCAAGGUUGCAAAUGAGGUUGCAAAGGUUGCAAAUCGUAUUUUUGAAAAAAAAAUUUUAUGAAAAGGUAUUUUUAAAAACAAUGAAAAAGAUGGUAGUAUUUUUAAAAAAAUAAUUUUACAGAUGGGUAUUUUUAAAAAGAUCCCUAAUUUAUAUAUAUAUAUAUAUAUAGACUUUGUGCGGAUUUUUGAUAAAGUAUUAUAGGGUUGAUAUAAAUUUCUUAGAAUUUAAACAUAAUGUUUCAAAAAUCUAAAAAUCUCAUGAAUUUUGGUGGGAUUUCAAAAAACUGAAAAUACACUGAACAGUCUCACAAAAUCCAUCAUUUUACAAAGUCCAAAAAAACCUAUCAUAAUUUGAAUACUAACAUAUUUUAAUUGAUUUUAAACAAUUACAAUUGAGUACUAUCAGAUUUUCAAUAUAGUUUAAGAUCCUCGUUGAAUACGGCCAGAUUUUAUAGCCUAACUUAAAAUCCCAGUUCAUUUUUUAAUAUUAUUUAAUAUGAUAAUUAUAUGAUACUUUUUGUAAUAUUAUUAUUUACAUAUAUAUAUACACAAAAUUAUACAAAUAUACAGAGAAAACACUCAUUUGAUCUAAAAUAAAUAAAAAUAUCUCAACCAUAAGUGUAAUAAGAUAAAAAACAUUAUAUUUAAUUUGAUAAUAUAGGUGUAAUAAAAUAAAAUAUUAUAUACAAUCUCGAGGUUGCGAAAUAGUUAUAACUGACAACGCAUUUAAAAUCCACUUUUUUAUCCUUUAUAAAAACAAAUAUCCCUUCUACAUUUUUCAACUGGGUCAGAGAAAUACUGUAAGAGAGAACUCUACUUUUCUACCUAUAUUUUAAAAUAUUUUAAUGUAUAUUCAUAAAUUUUAAUCUUCAACUUUUUUAGAUAAUAUAUUAAUUUAAUAUUUCAAAAAAAAUAUUGAGAUUUUAACAUAUUUUGCCUACCGGACCAAACAAUACUUUAAAUAUCUCUAAUUUAUUAGAAACUCCUUUAAUAAUUUUUACAAAAUAAUUUAAGAACUUUUUAAUAAAUAAGAUAUAAAUAAUUAAAAAAAUUUAUAUUUUCAUUAUUUAGUAGUAAGUAUUUAUUUAUGAAAAUAAAUUUAGCUGAGGAACAUAUUUUUUUCCUCUUUUCCUUAACCUAAACUCUAAUAAAACUCCUUAAGAUCCUAGCCCAAACCCAUGUAAGUUAUGAAUUAAACAAUUAAACCUUAACCUAAGCUUAUGUAAGCUAUCAAUUAAACAAUUAAAUACCCUCUAAUAAAACUCUUUAUUAUUCUAACCCAAGCCCAUAUAAGUUAUUAAUUAAAAUGCUCUAAUAAAAUUCUUUAAAAUCCUAACCCAAGCCCAUGUAAGCUAUGAAUUAAACUAUUAAACGCGCUCUACCUGCUCGUUAAAAUCAUAGCCCAAGCCCAUGUAAGUUACUAAUAAAACUCUUCGAAACCCUAGCCCAAGCCAAUGUAACUUAUGAAUUAAACAAUUACAUGCCGGUUAAAACCCUAGCCCAAGCCCAUAUAAGUUACUAAUAAAACUCCUCGAAACCCUAGCCCAUGUAACUUAUGAAUUAAACAAUACAUUUCAAUUCAAACUCGUGAUAUUUACGCCGUUUUCUCAAAUUCCUGCGGCGGCUACUAUUCUGUAUAGCAAAACCUUUUUCUUGAUUAAAAUUCAACCCAUGACGAAGAAGCAAGUGAAGUACUGUGUGGUAAUCUCAUUCUGUUAUUUAUAUAUGCAUCAUUUUGUUUUUAACACACACAGAGUGAUGAUUUGCUAAAAAGAUUGAAUUUUUCAGGUGGAUGCAUUCACAGAAUCAGCGUUCAAGGGAAACCCAACUGCAGUUCAAUUGGUGGCCACUGAGUUCAAUCUCUCUGAAAUACAUGUUUCUUGACUAGGAUUGACUUGGAUUCGGCUAAUCCCAGGUUUCACUCCUGUUGCUGAGGUUCACUUGCUUUUGAUUCUACUUAUUUUUUGGGUUUUUAUGGUUCCCCCGGUGUUCAAUUUUGGACAUGUGUAUUGGGUUUGUGUAAAGAUUUGAUCUUUUUGGUGGUAGUGGUCUUGAAUUGAAUUUGUUUAUUGGUCUUGUGUAGUGGGUUUGUGUAAAGAUUUGAUCUUUUUGGUGUAGCAGUCUUGAAUUUGAUUGGGGCAAAACAAAGUUGAUUUGGACAUUCAACGGGACGUAAUAACGAAUAUGUCUGAUAUGCAUAUUAAACCCCUUUGUUGCCAAGGUUCAGUUACUAUUGAGUCUUGUUCAUUGUUUUAGUUUUUCUGAUGCACACACUGGUUUCAUAUUUGAUCCAUUUGGAGCUUGUUCAUUAAUCUCGCUAUUCUACUUUGUGACGUAGUAUUUUGUGAAUUCAGGCAUCAACUAGAGGUGGCAUCAUAAAAUUACAUCUAGAUGAGAGGAAUCAAGGGUAAUGCUCCAAAGGAAAGUUGUUAUUGUGAUGGAAGGUUCUCUCCUAGUUUAAAUAUGGAGGUAUUCCUAGAAACUUGAGAUCAUUAUAUUGUAUCUGUAGCAAUUUACUUAACAAGUUUUUUACCAUUUGCUACAGAUAUUUUUGAUGAACACUACUUUCUUAAAUGUGUUGUUGAUAUGCAUUUCGUGCUAAUGAUUAUUGAUAAGUAGUACUUUUAUAGUUCUCUUCGAUAGAUUGCUUGCAAUUAUCUAGUUGAUUAAUUAAUGCAGCUGUGUUCACUCUUCCGAGUCACUCGAACUAAAAUGAGUUGGUAAAGUGAGUAUUUAUGAGUCAUUUUAUUCAACAUGUUCAAUAUAUCUAUUGUGAAGUAUUAUGCAAAGUAUGGAAAUUCGUAAAUAAUAUUGGCAAAAUUGUGCCAAUAUUAUUUAGAGCACUUAACUUCACUUACGACCGAAAGAAAAGCCGUUGGUGACUAUAUUCUUGCCAAAAUUCAUAUAUAGUUGCUGAUUGUAUACUAGUUUUUAGAAUAUCAAUUGAUAUUAAUUUUAAAUUAUAUUCAAUAAUUGGCAUUUCAUUUAAAAUGAUAAGUAUAAUUUUGAUUGGGAUGACUGAAUAUUUUCGAUAUUUAUGACUAUUAUAAUUUGGAAGGUUAAUUUUGAAUAGUUAGAAAUGAUUUCAAGAAUUUAUUCCUGUAGUUUAUGUAAUAUGUGUCAAUUCCUUUUUAUGUAUAUUAAGACGUAUGUCAAAUGUUAUUAUAUAAAAGUUUUCGUAUUAUUAUAUUUUGGUAGUUAAUCUUUAUAGCAAACAAAUUUCAAAUAUGUAUAUUAUUUACACAUACAUAUUCAGAAGAUAUUAAAAUAACAAGUAAGCUGCUCCAGAGCUCUUAACCCCAAACAUGACGACUAGGAAAGAGCAAAAUAAAUAUUUCAGUCCACAUUUCGAACCUGCUGGACAAGUAAAUUUUCUUUUAAUUUUGAAACAUGGAUUAAGUUCUUAUAAGUUCUUAUUCAUUUACUUUUGUGAUGUAAUUGGAUCGAUUUUUUUGUAUAUUAUACCAUGUGAAGCAAACACAUGAAUUUAGCUUUAAACAUUUCAGGCCUGGUUCUCAUUUCUAUGUAUACAGGUUGGAUAGUUUUAUAAUUAAUAUGCUCUAUAUGAUAUCAUGAUUUGAUAUUGUGUUUGUUUGAUGUUUAAUAAAUGUUAUCCAAACUAAUCGCCUCUAGUUGGUAAUGAUGUAAUUCGAUACUCAUAAGUUGUUUUUGAUAUCAAUAAUCAAAUUUGUUUAGAUAUGUGCAAUAGAUCACUGUGAAUAUAUGAGUAACAGGUUGUGUAGUGUAAUAAGUGUGAGUGAAGAAUCUUUGAAUUUAUAACUUAAAUCCAUUGAUUUUAAUUGCUAAGUUGAGAAUGGAAUGGUACUGUUUAUGUCAAGUGUUCAUUUCUUCUUAUUUGUGUACAACUUUAAUAACAUGUCAGAAUGCUAUUAAGUAUUAUUCCACCAGUGCAAGAGUAAUUCCUUUUCCUUAGAAUUUUUGAUAGCUUCCUGGGGCGUAGAAAGCUUAUUCAUGUACAGAGUUUGUUAAGUAUCAGCUCAAUAGAGGUAGUUAGGAGUUAAAGUAAAUGCCUUGUCAUCAUGUAAUUACGGGGUUGUUGAAAUUGUGCAAGAUAGGACUUAAAAGAACUGUUUCUUUGAGCUAAUUACGUGCACCCACAAGGUUCCCUUAAUUGCCAGAAGAAAAACAUAAUAAGAGUUGCUCGAUGAAAAAUUCCCAUGUUAUAACCGAUUGCUUUGCUCGUAAGGUUUGAAACCAAAUGUCCUAUCCUAGUGCAAUGUUGCAUAUAUAGGACAGUAAGUUGAGCCCCAAAUAAUAUAUGUCAGUAUUAGUUAUGACACCCACAAGCGAAACACUAAUCAGAUUACGGAAACCUUUAUAUUCCGGGGGUGGUGUAGGCAUACAGUGACUAGACUCAGAUGAGUCAACUCUGAACAGGAAAACAAAUAAGAUUGUAUUUUGUAGGCACUGGAUGUACGAUUAUGAAGUUCCAGUUCCCUAACUCCGGUGUUUGAUAUGUUUUCAACCCAAAUAUCUAUAUCUGAAUAGAGAUAAAGAGGCAGAUCAUUAGGAAUGCAAAGAAUAAACUCUAAUAUGAGACCAUUACGAGAUAAAAGAAUACUGCUGACAGUUCUUGAAAAUUCAUAUAGUUUAGUUUCUCUACUUCUGAAAGGAAACUUUUGAGAAAGCCGGUUGAAGAAAAGGUUAUCAAAAACUAGGUGUGUGUGCAUUUCCCAUUUACCCCUCCAUGUUUUUGAGAGUAUGCUCAUUCUUGUUACAUAUCAACUAGUAAUCGCUUUUGAAUAAGGUCUAGUAAGUCACUAGGCAUGUCACUAAUAAUAUCAACCGCGUCUUCACAAUCAAGCCGUCUUGUGUUAGCAUUACUAGUCAUAUAUCUGAAUAUUAGAAGAAGUAAGAACUAAACUGAAAAGAUUUACAAACAAUAAUACUAUAAUAUAAAUAUAAUUAAGUAUAUUUGUAGUGGUCAACUGGGUAGCAGCAAUUAAUCAAAUUUAUCGUAGCACACAAUUUAAAGAACAUUUAUCCAUAAGAGCCAUAUAUCAUAUAUGUAAAUAAUUCAACUAAGCCAUUAUCACAUUUGGAAAAAAGUGGCAAAAUCAUUUUCGUAUAUAUUAGCGAAAGUUUAACAGUUAAUUAAAACCCCUAAAUCAAAGAUAGAAAAAGAUCAUGUGAGAUAUCAACAUACAUAAAAACAUUGAUUUAUUCAAAAAGUUGAUGAUUCAUAUAUAUAUAUAUAUAUACACACAUACAUAUAUUUAAACAUAUAUAUAUUUGAUACAUGUAUUGGUGGGAGUGAGACAUUAUGAGUGUGGCGGAAUGAGGAAAGAAAUGUGAGGAUUAGUGAUACAACCCUAAUUCUUAAUUAUGUAAUCUGUAUAACGAUGUCGUGUAAUCAGUUGACUGCAAGAUAUUUGCAUAUGCUAGAAAACCGUAUCGUAUGGAACAGAACAUUCUAAAAUGGCUAAACACAACACUGUUUAAGGAUAAUAUUUACAAAUCAUUUUUAUUUAUUUAUUUCCAUUUUAGGGGCAGUAUGUUGAUACUCGUGUACAGGGAAACAACUAUCAACAUAUGUAGACAUUCCCCUGCCUAAAUAACAACCUGCCUCGAAAAUGGAAAUAAAUAUAAAAAGAAAUGUUUUGUAGAUGUUAUCCUUAAAUGAUGUCGUGUUUAGCCAUUCUAGAAUGUUCUUUUUCAUAUGAUGCCGUUUUCUAGCAUAUGCAAAUAUUUUGCAGUCAAAUGAUUACAGGACGUCGUUAUAGAGAUUACAUAAUUAAGAAUUAGGAUUGUAUCGCUAAUUCUCACAUUCUUUCCUUACUCCGCCGCGCUUAUGUUGUCUCACUCCCAGCAAAGGUAUCAAAUGUUUAUAUAUAUUUAUGUGUGUGUGCGUGUAUUUGAAUCAUUGUUUUUUUGAAUAUAUCAAUGUCUUUAUGUAUGUUGAUAUCUCACAUAAUAUUUUUUUCCAUUUUUGCUAUGGGUUUUAAUUAAUUGUUGAACUUUCGCUAAUAUAUAUGAAAAUGGUUUUGGCACUUUUUUCCAUAUGUGUUAAUGGUUUAGUUGAAUUGUUUACAUACUCGGCUGUGAUGCAUAAAUGUUCAUUAAUAUCAGUACUAUGAUAAGUUCGAUUAAUUGUGACUACCUAGUUGGUCACUAUAUAUUGUAGUAUUACUGUUUGUAAAAUUCUUUUCAGUUUGAUUCUUACUUCUUUUAAGUAUUCAGAGAUAAGGCCAGUGAUGCUAACACAAGGCGGCUUGAUUGUGGAGACGCAGUUGAUAUUGUCAGUGACUUGCCCGGUGACUUAUUAGACCUUAUUCUAAAGCGAUUGCCGGUUGACUGUGUAGGAAGAAUGUGCAUUCUCUCAAAAACAUGGAGGGUGAAAUGGGAAAUGCACCCACACCUAGUUUUUGAUGACCUUUUCUUCAACCGGCUUUCUUAGAGGUUUCCUUCCAGAAGUAGAGAAACUAAACUAUAUGAAUUUUCAAAAACUGUCAGCAGUAGUCUUUUAUCUCGUAGUGGUCUCAUAUUGAAGUUUGUUCUUUGCAUUCCUCAUGAUUUGUUUCUUCAUCUCUAAUUAGAUAUAGAUAUUUGGAUUAAAAACAUAACAAACAAUGGAGUUAGGGAAGUGCAACUUCAUAAUCGUACAUUGAGUGCCUACAAAAUACCAUCUUAUUUGUUUUCCUGUUCAGAGUUGACUCAUUUGUUUCUAAGUUGUUGUAUGCUCACACCACCCCGGAAAUUUGAAUACUUUUUUAAUCUGAUUACUGUUUUGCUUGUGGGUGUCUUAAUUACAACUGACAUUUCAUUUGGGGCUCAACUUACUGACCUACAUUUGCAACGUUGCAUUGGGAUUGAACAUUUGGGAUGUCAAUAUUAAUAUUAUAUCAAUCUCACUUUUCUGAGUAUUAGCCAUUGUGAUGUAAUUGGAUCAAAUUUCUUGUAUAUAAUCCCAUGUGAAGCAAACACAUGAAUUUAGCUCUAUACAUUUCAGGCCUGGUUCUCAUUUCUAUGUAUACAACUUGGAUAGUUUUAUGAUUAAUAUGCUGGAUAUGAUACCAUGAUUUGAUAUUGCGUUUGUUGGAUGUUUAAUAAAUGUUAUCCAAACUAAUUGCCUCUAGUUGGUAAUGAUGUAAUUCGAUUUUCAUAGGUUGUUUUUGAUAUCAAUAAUCAAAUUUUUUAGAUAUGUGCAACAGAUCACUGUGAAUAUAUGCGUAACAGGUCACUGUGUAGUGUAAUAAGUGUGAGUGAAGUAUGUUUGAAUUUAUAACUCAAAUCCAAUGAUUUAAUUGCUAAUUUGAGAAUGGAAUGGUAGUGUUUAUGUCAAGUGUUCAUUUUCUUCUUAUUUGUGUACAACUUUAAUAACAUGUCAUAAUGCUAUUAAGUAUUAUUCCACCAGUCCAAGAGUAAUUCCUUUUCCUUAGAAUUUUCGAUAGCUUCUCGGGGGCGUAGAAGGCUUAUUAAUAUACAGAUUUUGUUAAGUAUAAGCUCAAUAGAAGUAGUCCGGUGUUAAGUAAAUUCCUUGUCAUCAUGUACAUACGGGGUUGUUCCAAAUUGUGCAACAUAGGACUAAAAAGAACUUUUUCUUUGAGGUAAUUACCUUCACGCACAAGGUUCUCUUAUUUGCCAGAAGAAAAUAAUAAGAGUUCCUUGAUGAAAAAUUCCCAUGUCAUAAUCGAUUGCUCCGCUCGUAAGGUUUGAAACCAAAUGUUCAAUCACUACAACGUUGCAUAUAUAGGUUAGUAAGUUGAGCCCAAAUGAUGUCGGUAUUAACUAUGACACCCACAAGCGGAACACUAUUCAGAUUACGGAAACCUUCAUAUUUCGGGGGUGGUGUAGGCAUACAGUGACUUAGAUCAGAUGAGUCAAUUCUGAACAUGAAAACAAAUAAGAUGGUAUUUUGUAGGCACUGGUUGUACGAUUGUGAAGUUUCACUUCCCUAACUCCACAGUUUGAUAUGUUUUUAAUCCAAAUAUCUAUAUCUGAAUAGAGAUGAAGAGGCAGAUCAUUAGGAUUGCAAAGAAUAAACUUCAAUAUGAGACCUCCACAAGAUAAAAGAAUACUGCUGCCGGUUAUUGAAAAUUCAUAUAGUUUAGUUUCUCUAAUUCUGAAAGGAAACCUCUGAGAAAGCCGGUUGAAGAAAAGGUCAUCAAAAACUAGGUGUGAGUGCAUUUCCCAUAUACCCCUUUAUGUUUUUGAGAGAAUGCUCAUUCUUGCUACACAGUCAACCGGCAAUCACUUUUGAAUUAGGUCUAGUAAGUCACUGGGCAUGUCACUUUUGAAUUAGACCUUAUUCUAUAGCGAUUGCCGGUUGACUGUAUUGCAAGAAUGUGCAUUCUCUCAAAAACAUGGAGGGGUAAAUGAGAAAUGGACCCACACCUAGUUUUUGAUGACCUUUUCUUCAACCGGCUUUCUUAGAGGUUUCCUUCCAGAAGUAGAGAAACUAAACUAUAUGAAUUUUCAAGAACCGUCAGCAGUAGUCUUUUAUCUCGUAGUGGUAUCAUAUUGAAGUUUGUUCUUUGCAUUCCUCAUGAUUUGAUUCUUCAUCUCUAUUUAGAUAUAGUUAUUUGGAUUAAAAACAUAACAAACAAUGGAGUUAGGGAAGUGCAACGUCAUAAUCGUACUUUGGCUGCCUACAAAAUACCAUCUUAUUUGUUUUCCUGUUCAGAGUUGACUCAUUUGUUUCUAAGUUGUAUGCUAACACCACCCCGGAAAUUUGAAGACUUCCGUAAUCUGAUUACUGUUUUGCUUGUGGGUGUCAUAAUUACAACUGACAUUUCAUUUGGGGCUCAACUUGUUGACCUACAUUUGCAACGUUGCAUUGGGAUUGAACUUUUGGGAUGUCAAUAUAAAUAUUAUAUCAAUCUCACUUUUCUGAGUAUUAGCCAUUGUGAUGUAAUUGGAUCAAAUUUCUUGUAUAUAAUCCCAUGUGAAGCAAACACACGAAUUUAGCUCUAUACAUUUCAGGCCUGGUUCUCAUUUCUAUGUAUACAACUUGGAUAGUUUUAUGAUUAAUAUGCUCGAUAUGAUUUUAAUAAAUGUUAUCCAAACUAAUUGCCUCUAGUUGGUAAUGAUGUAAUUCGAUUUUCAUAGGUAGUUUUUGAUAUCAAUAAUCAAAUUUUUUAGAUAUGUGCAAUAGAUCACUGUGAAUAUAUGCGUAACAGGUCACUGUGAAGUGUAAUAAGUGUGGUGAAGUAUGUUUGAAUUUAUAACUCAAAUCCAAUGAUUUAAUUGCUAAUUUGAGAAUGGAAUGGUACUGUUUAUGUCAAGUGUUCAUUUUCUUCUUAUUUGUGUACAACUUUAAUAACAUGUCAGAAUGCUAUUAAGUAUUAUUCCACCGGUCCAAGAGUAUUUCCUUUUCCUUAGAAUUUUCGAUAGCUUCCCGGGGGCGUAGAAGGCUUAUUAAUAUACAGAUUUUGUUAAGCAUAAGCUCAAUAGAAGUAGUUGGGUGUUGAGUAAAUUCCUUGUCAUCAUGUACAUACGGGGUUGUUCCUAAUUGUGCAACAUAGGACUAAAAAGAACUUUUUCUUUGAGGUAAUUACCUUCACGCACAAGGUUCUCUUAUUUGCCAGAAGAAAAUAAUAAGAGUUCCGCGAUGAAAAAUUCCCAUGUCAUAAUUGAUUGCUCCGCUCGUAAGGUUUGAAAUCAAAUGUUCAAUCACACUACAACGUUGCCAAUAUAGGUUAGUAAGUUGAGCCCAAAUGAUGUCAGUAUUAACUAUGACACCCACAAGCGGAACACUAUUCAGAUUACGGAAACCUUCAUAUUUCGGGGGUGGUGUAGGCAUACAGUGACUUAGAUCAGAUGAGUCAAUUCUGAACAUGAAAACAAAUAAGAUGGUAUUUUGUAGGCACUGGUUGUACGAUUGUGAAGUUUCACUUCCCUAACUCCACAGUUUGAUAUGUUUUUAAUCCAAAUAUCUAUAUCUGAAUAGAGAUGAAGAGGCAGAUCAUUAGGAUUGCAAAGAAUAAACUUCAAUAUGAGAC